rnacentral:rRNA from 2 species
GACACGCCGCGUGAGUGAGAAGGGUUUCGGCUCGUAAAACUCUGUUGUUAAAGAAGAACAUAUCUGAGAGUAACUGUUCAGGUAUUGACGGUAUUUAACCAGAAAGCCACGGCUAACUACGUGCCAGCAGCCGCGGUAAUACGUAGGUGGCAAGCGUUGUCCGGAUUUAUUGGGCGUAAAGCGAGCGCAGGCGGUUUUUUAAGUCUGAUGUGAAAGCCUUCGGCUCAACCGAAGAAGUGCAUCGGAAACUGGGAAACUUGAGUGCAGAAGAGGACAGUGGAACUCCAUGUGUAGCGGUGGAAUAA